GAACGCACCUUGCGCCCUUUGGCCAUUCCGAAGGGCAUGCCUGUUUGAGUAUCAUGAACACCUCAACUCUCAUGGCUUGCCAUGAUGAGCUUGGACUUUGGGGGUCUUGUCGGCCUGCGGUCGGCUCCUCUCAAAUGAAUCAGCUUGCCGGUUUUUGGUGGGCAUCACAGGUGUGAUAACUAUCUACGCUUGUGGUUUUCCACCAGGGUAACCUUCAGCAGUGGAGGUUCACUGGAGCUUACAAAUGUCUCUCCUCUGUGAGGACAGCCGUUUGAAUGUUUGAUCUCAAAUCAGGUAGGACUACCCGCUGAACUUAAG
rnacentral:misc_RNA from 1 species